UCUUGUGGAUAAGCAAACAAAGUGGUUUCUUGAAACGGAAUCUACUGCUAAUGAAGAUGCUAUGAA
rnacentral:pre_miRNA from 1 species